rnacentral:tRNA from 1 species
GGUCCCGUAGUUUAACUGGAUAAAACUCAAGAUUCCGGUUCUUGCGCUGGGGGUUCGAGUCCUCCCGGGAUCA